CGCUUGCUCUGUCUCUGUCUCUCUCUCCCUCUCUGCCCCCCCUCUCCCUCCCUCUCUCUUGCUCUCUCUCUCUCUUCCCGUCUCUGUGGUUUGUAAGGUAGGUUGCAGUGUGUGUAUAUACACAACAUCAAGAGCAGGAAAAUGGACUCAUUAGGGAGGCAGGCAGUCAUUACCACUCACACUGUACUUCCAGGGAGACACCGAUUAUGAGAAGAGAAACUCAGCGCUGGGGAAGAAGUCACACAAAAGAAGUGCUAAGAAUUGCCCUUUGAGACUCUGAAGGCUGAAGAGUCCCUGAUAAAUUGCAAGUCUGUCUGCGCCCCAUAGCUGCACAGACUGCCUGAAGUUACAUUUAGAGACUGAAAUCACUGCACCUUAAAAACAAAAGAUUGGGCUGCACUGCAUUCCUAAAGUUUCAUCAUCACUAACUGGAUAUUCCUCACGACAUUACUGUCUGCAGUGGCUGGCACUUUUCCUCCACGUUUUGAGAGAAAGAGAAUUGGCUGGAAUAAAACCUUGCUUUCCAUAUGGUCGACUUGAAAUACAGCAUUGAAAAGUUCCUUGACCAUCAGUCUGUGGCCUGCCUCUUCUCUUUAUAUGCAGCCGCUCUCUGUUCCCUGCCCCAAUGAACAUCUGCACUAGGCCCAAGCCUUGGAGUGACUUACCUGAAGAGUGACACCAUUUAUUUGGAAACUACUAUGAGGAAACUGAAGCCCAGAGAGGUGAAGUGAGGUGCCCAAGGCCACACAGCAAGUUAGAGGCACAGCUAGUACCAUAGCUCAAGUCUCCUGACUCCCAGUCCAGUGCUCCUCCCAUUACUCCACGGGUCCUGUCUCUAAGCUUCCUGACAAAUGCUAGAACGG